CGUCAGGUGAACCGCGCGAAAUACAAAUUUAGAGUCAGUUUCAGUGAUUUAAUUCUCAAAAACAAGUCUGUUAAAGUACGCGCUGUGUAUCUGCUUAAAGAUAAAGUUCCUGCCACAUGUGUUAUUGAGUCAGAGCUUAUUAAAGGACACAAGAAUCUGACGACGGAAAAUCUCAUCAACGGCUAAACUGUUAUCUGGAAAGUGAGAAAUGGAUAAAAAGACGUUGGUGAAGCGGCGCGCGCUAAACCCUGAAGUUCGAUGGAAAAUGACCACGUCAAGGAGGGCUGCUGAGGUUGAGAGAGUCUCAGUGUCCGACAGAGAAGACCCGGGACUAUGCUGUAAAAGAGAAAAUUACAAGGAGGCCUGGGUCUCGGAAACUUAAAUAACUAGUGAAUCAGAAGGGCCAUGCCAAUCCAUCUUAAGGCAGUCUGAGCUACUAAAAUAAUGAAAUUAAAAAGAGAGAAGAUCUGUCUGCGUCAGUGCUUUAGUGCAGAUGAAGGUGGCUGAACAGAUUUUCCCCAUGAAGGAGGUCCAGAAAGUGUACUUCACCAGCAAAUUCAACAAUGUGGACAAGCUAGGAAAACAAGAGGUGUAAUUCAUGUCACAAUUCACACCGCCACACACACUCAGACAUAGGACACACCCAAGCACCCAGUACUGCCAUAAUUAAAUGCAUAAGGAAUGCUUAUGAAUUAGAUUUUUCAUUAUGUAUGUAUAGAGUUUAUAUAUAGAUUUAUACCACAAUACAUUAUUCAGUUAUAUAAUUGUAUAUAUUACUGUAUAAUAAAAUUAUAUUAUUGUAUAAUUACCAUCGUAAAAUAAAUUAUUACGUGUAAUAUAAUUCUGUUAUUAUAUAACAAAUACAAUCUAUUACUAUUAUUUUUUAUAUUACUAUUAUUUUAAUGCAUUUAACAUUACAUUAUAGAAUGCCAAGUUGGUACAUGUGUUAUCAGUUUACCAUUUAGAAGAUAUCCUUACCAGUUGUUUUUGUGCCUGUGUUUGAAAUUAUACCGUUGCUGAAUAAAUGGAGUUGUGAGAUCUA